AUGUAAUGUAUUUCCUACAAGGUUAAUGCACCAUAUCCUAUUAUAACUCCAUAGUUAAGCCUGCUUGGGCUAGAGUAAUACUGGGAUGGGUGACCUCCCGAGAAGUCCUAGUGUAUUACAUG
rnacentral:rRNA from 1 species